AUCUUUAUAAUUUUACUAUCAAAUCCACUUUCAAUAAAUUAUUUCAAAUUUAAAUUCAUAUUAAUAAAUUAAAUGUAAUUCAUUUCUACUUAAACAUAAGCUACACCUUGAUUUGAAAUAAAUUUUAAUUUAAAUUAUUGAAAAUUAUUAUUCUCUUAAAAUAUUCUGAUAACAACGGUAUAUAAACUGUUUUACAAAUUUAAGUAAGGUCCAACGUGGAUUAUCGAUUACAAAACAAAUUCCUCUGAAUAGACUAAAAUACCGCCAAAUUUUUUAAGUUUCAAGAACAUAACUAUUAC
rnacentral:rRNA from 1 species